rnacentral:rRNA from 1 species
AUUGAACGCUGGCGGCAUGCCUUACACAUGCAAGUCGAACGGCAGCGGGGGAGAAGCUUGCUUUUCCUGCCGGCGAGUGGCGAACGGGUGAGUAAUACAUCGGAACGUGCCCUGUAGUGGGGGAUAACUAGUCGAAAGAUUAGCUAAUACCGCAUACGACCUGAGGGUGAAAGUGGGGGACCGCAAGGCCUCAUGCUAUAGGAGCGUCCGAUGUCUGAGUAGCUAGUUGGUGGGGUAAAGGCCUACCAAGGCGACGAUCAGUAGCUGGUCUGAGAGGACGAUCAGCCACACUGGGACUGAGACACGGCCCAGACUCCUACGGGAGGCAGCAGUGGGGAAUUUUGGACAAUGGGCGAAAGCCUGAUCCAGCAAUGCCGCGUGUGUGAAGAAGGCCUUCGGGUUGUAAAGCACUUUUGUCCGGAAAGAAAUGGCUCUGGUUAAUACCUGGGGUCGAUGACGGUACCGGAAGAAUAAGGACCGGCUAACUACGUGCCAGCCGCCGCCGUAA